rfam:Gossypium hirsutum cultivar TM-1 chromosome 13, whole genome shotgun sequence
UGUUUAAAACUUCAUUCAUUUGUACUGUUAAAAAAUUGACAUAACCGAUGGAAUAAUCAAAUAAUGUCAUAUACGCGUGCUACGUGUACCUCAUGCUAACUUACAGAACCAAUUUUUAAUAGCAAAAAUGGAUGAAAUUUUUAAUC